ACUAAAAAAUAAUCACAUAGGAAAAAAGUGAAACUAUUUGAAAUAAAAUAUUCAAUCAUUUCCCAGGUGGUAGACAUCACAACCAUGGAGAUGGAAGUAUCUUCGACAAAGCUGCCAACCUUGCCGAUGGGAUCGUGUAAUAAAAACGUUUUGAACAUUUCUGCAUUUUAGUAGUUAUGUAAAACAAGCAUAUUUGUGAAAUAAAAUUGGUUACUGCUUUCA